ensembl:snoRNA
AGGGUGUGCUCAGAGCAGACGGCCUGAAGAAUGGCUCCUCUGUUUACAACUCACCCAACAGGAAUCUGGGGCCAUUGUGAUGAGGAGCACGACAUUUGUGACCUCCCUGUGAGCAAAUGCCCUACAUGU